rnacentral:tRNA from 1 species
GUGGCCAUAGUUUAAUGGUAGAACAGCGGAUUGUGGCUCCGCUAGUCUGGGUUCAAUUCCCAGUGGCUACCCCA